rnacentral:sRNA from 1 species
ACGUAGCGCGUGGACGCUGCGGUUGGUCAACGCCAUCCACCCCCGCCUGACGGCUGCUUGCUACGGUGUAUCAGCC